rnacentral:sRNA from 1 species
GCUGGGCACAGUGGCAUAUACCUGUAAUCCCAGCCACUCAAGAGGCUGAGGCAGGAGGAUCACAAGUUCAAAACCAGCCUCAGCAAAAGUGAGGUGCUAAGCAACUCAGUGAGACCCUGUCUCUA